rnacentral:rRNA from 1 species
UAGGGAAUCUUCCACAAUGGGCGAAAGCCUGAUGGAGCAACGCCGCGUGUGUGAUGAAGGGUUUCGGCUCGUAAAGCUCUGUUGUUAAAGAAGAACGUGGGUAAGAGUAACUGUUUACCCAGUGACGGUAUUUAACCAGAAAGCCACGGCUAACUACGUGUCAG